CGAGCGCGAAUGGGGCAACCCUAGUAGAGCGGCGCACGGGUGCGUAACACGUGGAUAAUCUGCCUGGAUGCCUGGGAUAACCAGUCGAAAGAUUGGCUAAUACCGGAUAAGCCCACGGUCUCUUCGGAGGCUGAGGGAAAAGGUGGCCUCUGUAUACAAGCUAUCACAACCAGAUGAGUCCGCGGCCCAUCAGCUAGUUGGCGGGGUAAUGGCCCACCAAGGCAACGACGGGUAGCUGGUCUGAGAGGACGAUCAGCCACACUGGAACUGAGACACGGUCCAGACUCCUACGGGAGGCAGCAGUGGGGAAUUUUGCGCAAUGGGCGAAAGCCUGACGCAGCAACGCCGCGUGUGUGAUGAAGGUCUUUGGAUUGUAAAGCACUUUCGACCGGGACGAAAACCCGAAGCCCAAUACGCUUCGGCUUGACGGUACCGGGAGAAGAAGCACCGGCUAACUCUGUGCCAGCAGCCGCGGUAAUACAGAGGGUGCAAGCGUUGUUCGGAAUUAUUGGGCGUAAAGCGCGCGUAGGCGGCUUUGCAAGUCGGGUGUGAAAGCCCUCAGCUCAACUGAGGAAGUGCGCCCGAAACUGCAGAGCUUGAGUGCCGGAGAGGGUGGCGGAAUUCCCCAAGUAGAGGUGAAAUUCGUAGAUAUGGGGAGGAACACCGGUGGCGAAGGCGGCCACCUGGACGGUCACUGACGCUGAGGCGCGAAAGCGUGGGUAGCAAACAGGAUUAGAUACCCUGGUAGUCCACGCCGUAAACGAUGAGAACUAGGUGUCGUGGGAGUUGACCCCCGCGGUGCCGUAGCUAACGCAUUAAGUUCUCCGCCUGGGAAGUACGGUCGCAAGACUAAAACUCAAAGGAAUGGACGGGGGCCCGCACAAGCGGUGGAGCAUGUGGUUUAAUUCGACGCCACGCGCAGAACCUUACCUGGGCUUGACUUCCCUCGAAAUCCUUC
rnacentral:rRNA from 1 species